UGGCUCAGUGGUAGAGCGCUUGCCUUGCAGGCAUGAGGCCCUGGGUUCGAUUCCUCAG
rnacentral:tRNA from 1 species